UAUUGCCAACAUUUACGUAAAGAUACAGUAAAUGGACUGUUCAGCUUGGAAAGAAGUGCUCUAUUUAGUUGAUGAGUCACCAUGGAAUCCACUCAAGUCGCUGCGGACGAUCGUGAUAGAACCUAUAAACUCUAUAAUAUGUACAAGCGGCCAGAAAGUCUCGAAUCGCCUCUAUCUGCGGCUCGCGAUAUCAAGGCAAGUGUGUACGCUAUGAAUGAUCAGACUUUUCACACGCCAUCUUUUGGAGACGAAGAAUUCGACAUUCCACUGAUGCACGGACAGCAUGCUGCGACUGGCGGAGGGCAGCCUCACAUACAAUACAAUCAACUUCAUCAUUCAGCCCCACAGGUUGGUAUGAUGAAUCCAGCACAAGACGGACUAGCUCCACCCGGCGGAGCGCCGUCAUAUCAACAACCUUUGUAUUUACAAGAACCACACACGCCUGUUACCUCUCACAGCAACGCAGCAGCUCCAGCAGGUAAUUACAUGAUCCAACAGCAACCCGGUGGGCAACAGCAACUGCUUAUGCUACAGCCAACACAAGUGAUGAGUGGACCACCUACACCAAGCACGCCCACACAGCCGGGCCCAGUGUACGGCUCGCCACAACGAGCCUCACCACCGGGCACCACCAGUGAUGAUUCUGAUGAUAGUGUACCUUCACACCACUCUCAGUUGCCUGGUGAUGCGGAAAGCCUUCUGCCAAUCCAUUAUUGCUCAGCGAGCCGGCAGCAACAAACUACGAUUCAUCAGAUGGGUGUUAGCAACAUGGGAGUGAAAAGGUCGUCCCCAGAACCUAUGGACAAUGGCAUGAGCCGUGGACAAAUGCAGAAGAAGCCCAAGGUUCAGAAAAAAAAGAAAAAACGAGAUCCAAAUGAACCACAAAAACCUGUGUCUGCAUAUGCCUUAUUUUUCCGUGAUACGCAGGCAGCAAUAAAAGGCCAAAAUCCAAAUGCAAGUUUUGGUGAAGUGUCCAAAAUUGUAGCUUCCAUGUGGGAUGGUUUAGAUUCAGAACAUAAAAGUGUUUACAAACAAAAAACAGAAGUAGCAAAAAAAGAAUAUUUGAAGGCACUGGCAGCAUACAGAGCAAGUUUAGUAUCAAAGGGAGGAGAACAAGAGAAUCCAGUUAUGUAUAACCACGGGAAUACUAAUGCAAACUAUGGAAAUUAUUAUCAAGGACAAGCAUAUGGAAACGGACACUCUCCUCAAGGCUAUGUUCCGAACUCAACUCCUCAAGGAUAUUCCCCGCAGGGAUUCCAAGGUGGCCAGUCUCAGCCUUCAUAUGCUGGAGCACCUCCUCAAAACUAUCCACCGAACAAUCAGCAGACGCAGCAAAGCUAUCAAGGAAAUAUGGGCCACAAUGCUCAGACAUAUCAAGGUGUGCCAGGACAGUCUCCUCAAGGGUACCAAGUCAACACAGCAGCAAAUCAGCAGUCCUGUCAGCCCAAUAUUUCACAGUCACCUAGAAACUACCAGCCAUCACAGUCUCCGAGCUAUGCUGCAAACUCGGCUCUCUCACCACCUGCUGGCUACAGACAAGUGCAGUCCCAAUCUCCUCCUGUUCAAUCAGUGCAUGCCAUGCAAUACCAUCACUCGCAACAGAUGCAGCAAGCUCACCAAGUGCAACAGUACCAGCAACAACAGCAACAGCAACAGCACCAACACCAGCAACAGCAACAGCCGCAGCAGCAGCAACUGCAACAUCAGCAGCAACAGCAGCAGCUGCAGCACCAGCAGCAACCGCAGCAGCCCCACCUGCACCAGCAGCCGCAGCAACAGAGCCAACAGCAACAGCCUCAACACCCAACACAGCAACCACAGAACCCUGCUAUAAACAAUGAGCAUCCUUCCAAUAGCAAUGCAAAACGAAAAUCGAAGUACACCGUCAUGUAUCCGCCAGGGCUGCACCAAUCCUGCUAUAGCCAAUAGCGAAUGGGAGGAUGAAUACUGUUCCAAUGAAUGUGUUGUUAGUCACUGCAGAGAUGUAUUCAGCUCCUGGGUGGCUUCAAACACAAAUAAUCAAAUUCAAAACUUCUCAGCUGUCAAAUAAAGCGUGUAACAUAUCAUAACACUUUUGGAUUGUAUAAAAAAAUCUUAGCAUACUAAUUUGCCUUGUUAUUGUUAUUUAAAAAUUCAAUGUUAAAACUACAAAUAAUAUGAUCACAUUUUGUAAUCAAAUCAUAUUCGCGGAGAUGAAUUACUUUGUUCCAUAUUGACUGAAAAUAUCUUUAUUUUCAUACAAAUAUUUUUUUAAUAUGUAAAACAUUGGAGUGCCUUGCCAAAUGACAACACAUGGACAGUUGUGAAUGGUUUUAUGAAAACUGUACAGUUUGACACUUGGACAAAAGAUAAAGAAGGAUGAGUGUUACAGUAACAAGUAAUCUUCUCCCGAUAUCUAAUUUGUAAUUUUAUUUGUUUGAAAUUGAAAUUAAAAUGUGUUCAGUAAUUUGUUUUGAAUGGAAUGUUCCAAGUUAUUAUAAAUAUGCAUUUAUUUUUACAACAAUAUUUCAUUAAGUACAAGUCUCUCUAUUUUUUUAUUUUGAGAAUCUGAGUUUUUUUAAUUUGUUUUUAUUAUUGAAAUAUGUUGGCGAUAAAUCACUUGAUACCUAUUAGUUUAAAUAUGUAAUGAAAUAUAGGUAUACUCGAAAGUGUUUAAACUAACUAAUAAGAUGUUUUCGAGAAAAACUAUCAAAAUGUGAUUUUUUUUUAAUUAAACGCGUAAUUUAGCGUGUGAAAAAAUAUAGUGAUUAUGAGUAAACUCUACUAUUAGAAUAUGUAGGUAUCAAUAUUUAAAUAUUUCCUACUGUUUAUUCCUAUGUUAACUCAAAUGUAUUCGUAACAGCAAUAUCAACUUAUCCCUUAGAAGUUGUGCUUAGCAUAGGAUAUAGCUGGACCAAAAUUUCCUUUAUAUUCAAAACAAUGAUACUAGUGUAUGAAUAAGUUGUUUUAUUGUAUAUUUAGUAAAAUACAAUUGUAAAUAAACCCUUGCAAUAAUAGUAUUAGUAGUAGUUAAGGUAAAAUAACUAUGUUAUAAUUAUUAUUUCACAUAAUCCUUGGGUAAGUAUUUACAAUAGACUACUUAGGUAGGUACUUCUAAAGCAAAAUAUCUUUAUGUACUUGUAAUAUAAAUGUGUAAAAAAUGUAACUAGAACAAUUAUUAUUUCAUUAAAUUUCCUAAGCAGU
rnacentral:misc_RNA from 1 species